rnacentral:rRNA from 1 species
UACGAAGGGUGCAAGCGUUAAUCGGAAUUACUGGGCGUAAAGCGUGCGCAGGCGGUGAUGUAAGACAGGUGUGAAAUCCCCGGGCUUAACCUGGGAACUGCAUUUGUGACUGCAUCGCUGGAGUGCGGCAGAGGGGGAUGGAAUUCCGCGUGUAGCAGUGAAAUGCGUAGAUAUGCGGAGGAACACCGAUGGCGAAGGCAAUCCCCUGGGCCUGCACUGACGCUCAUGCACGAAAGCGUGGGGAGCAAACAGG